CCCACUUCAUUCUUUAAAUUACUUUUCUUUUCCCUUUUUCUCCUUUCUCCUUUAAAAGGUUAAUCCUUUUCCCUUUCCUCUGCUUUCCUAUUUGCUCUUUCUCUCUUGGUUUGAAUAAUUUGAAGGAUAGUGGAGGCAUUGUCUGUUGGGAGUCUGGAGCGGACACAGGUGAUAAAAUAAAAGUUUUUUCUUCUGAUGAGUCUGCAUCUGUAGUUUGCUCAUUGUGGAGGCAUUUAACUUCCUCAGGGUUUAUCCCAAAGGUAUUUGCACCCUGGAGUUUUGCGUUGUUGUUGUUGUUUAAAUAAAGCACAGAAAUAUUUUACAGGAGAAAGCAAAGGUAAGGCAAGUGGAAACGAAGGAGAAAGGCAAGGAGACAAAAAGGAGAAGUAUAUAUAUAUGUAUAACAGAUGACGCACAAGCAAUUGCUCACCACUCCCCAGCCAAUGCCCAGCUAGCCCCCGAGCAGCGGAAGAGAGUGCGAUGCACUCCCACCCCCUUCAAAACUCCUUCCACAUGAUGCCAUAUGGCAUGGAAUGUCCCUUUGGACAAUCUAAGUCAGCUGUCCUCACUCUGUUCCCUCCCAGCUCCUUGGGCUCCUUGCUGCAAAUGGUCUUGGCUUUGUGCAGCACUGCUUAGCAGCCGCUGUAAACAUUGGUGUGUUAUCAGCAGUGGUUUUCUCUUAGAACAAAAACACAGUAUCAUACCAGGCACUCUGAAGAAAACAAUUCCAUCCCAGCUGAAACUUAGACACUGAUAUUCCUGAGCAAGUGGCUGAGCUUGGACAGCUCUGCAGCCAGAAGAAAGCACGAGUUCAGGCAGCAGAUUUUGUUCCCACACAAUGCACCAUUCCUAGCGUUGAUGAAUGUUGGCCCCUCAGCAUGGUGGUCAAGCUUUAAGAGUGAAACUGCAGAUGUCAUUGCUGCUGUCCCUUUUCUUGUGCCAUACGACAUUGGUGCUCGGCUUCCAAAAACAAGCACACCAGACAAGCCAAGCUGUAAUGCUAUCAAGGUUGUUGCAGUCAGUGCUCUCCGAGCCUGAGCAGGGUGACAAAGUGAAAAAGCACAAAGGGACCCUGUUCAUGCUGCUUCCACUGAGUCUUCAUGUUGUGUAGUGCAAGAACAUGUGAGCCAGUAUGUAACAUCCCCCCCCCCCCAAAAAAAAAUAAAAUAGAAAUAAAAAAAUAAAAAGGAGUUCAGCAUUAUGCAGCUCUAUUGCUACACAGUGGGACUGGCAAGCAGCAGUGUCAAUGUGCUGCGGCUCGACAACCCUAGGAAUUUUGCAGUGUGCUUGAGCUCAUUCUACUGCCAGAGCUGGCACUAACUCCCAGCCACUCAAGGUUUGCCUUUCAGUUUGUGGUUCUGCAGUGGCAUUCAGAGCUGGUCUCUGCUGAAUGAAGAACUUCCUGCUGUUUGAUUCCUUAAGAAGAGAUGGCAUUAAGCUGGGUAUGUUAUAAUGUUCAUGAAACUUGAAUGCCAUGUGGUCUGAAAACUACUUGUGGGAGCCCUGCAGGCAGCAGCACUUACAGGCACAAAACACAUGCUGAGUAUUGGCUUUGAAGUACAGUGGAGGUUGUCACUAGACAGUCUUUAAGGUCCCUUCCAACCCAAAUCAUUCUGUGAUUUUGCGAUCCUGUCUAGGUAUUUGUUCUUGAUGUUUUUAAAAGUAGUGGCUUUGCUGAAUGGAGAGGAGAAUCUCUCACUGCCUGAUAGCAGGUGUUUUCUCUCAAAUGUACAACAUCAUCAGAAGUGGUUUUGUGCUUUUUCUGCAACAAGGGUGACUGGAGGCAUCUGGUUAAAUCUCCUUCCAGCUGCAUCUAAAACUGGUGGCCUUGGGUGAUUCCCACAUUUGCCAGUUCAUCUCCGAGCCAAGGCAGGAUCCACCUGGGUAGUGGCAUGUGCUAUUUAUCGCUGGUGGCAAAAGUGGAACCAGUGUGUAACAAAUGACAUGCUGAGCAUUUUGGAAGGGACAGCAUGCUACUGGAACACAGUGCUGGAUUGGAGAUAGUGUCUGAGAGCUGAGUGUGAGUGCAAAGGUGGGCUCUAUCCUGCAAUGAUCGCAGUUUUGUCA
ensembl:lncRNA